AUUGAACGCUGGCGGUAUGCUUAACACAUGCAAGUCGAACGAUGAGAAAGAGCUUGCUCUUUCGAUUAGUGGCGGACGGGUGCGUAACGCGUAGGAAUCUACCUAUUAGUGGGGGACAACCUAGGGAAACUUAAGCUAAUACCGCAUACGCCCUACGGGGGAAAGAAGGGGAUCGCAAGACCUUUUGCUAAUAGAUGAGCCUGCGUAGGAUUAGCUAGUUGGUGGGGUAAAAGCUCACCAAGGCGACGAUCCUUAACUGGUUUGAGAGAAUGAUCAGUCACACUGGAACUGAGACACGGUCCAGACUCCUACGGGAGGCAGCAGUGGGGAAUAUUGGACGAUGGGCGAAAGCCUGAUCCAGCAAUACCGCGUGUGUGAUGAAGGCCCUAGGGUUGUAAAGCCCUUUCGGCGGGGACGAACGGUCACGUCAGGAAAUGGGCGUGAAUUGACGGUACCUGAGAAGGAAGCCACGGCUAACUACGUGCCAGCCGCCGCCGUAAGAC
rnacentral:rRNA from 1 species